GUUUGAAAAAGCAAUUCAGCUUAAUUCUUUCUUUCUUCAAACUUAGUAAUAAGUGAAUUGAUUUUAUUUUGUGCAAAUCCAAAUAUAAUGAAGAUAUUUGGCUUAUGUGAACCUUAAAGGCUAUUUUAAACUAGAUCAGUCUGCCUUUGUUCUAACACCAUCUUUAAAAAGAGUGAAAUUACUUGGUUCCAAAUCCAGUGUUUAUUCAAGCAUAGAAAAUGGAAAGAUUUUCAGAAACCCUGUAUUUACUUCUUCCUUCUACAUAGACAGUCUUUCCACCAUGCUUAAGGUCUCCCUUCCUCUAAACCAGCUCAAUGCUGUUUUCAUUGUAGAAUUCCAAAAUGAUUCUGCUAUAAACUGCAUCACAGUAGUUAAUUUUUUUGUCUUUGAUCUUUGUGAAUGAAAUCUUUAAAAAAAAAUUAGUAGAUUUGAUAUAUCUGGGGUUUUUUUGUUUAUUUGUUUUUUAAGUCAUGGUUCCUCUAUGUAGCCCUGGCUGUCUUGAAACUCACUGUGUAGACCAGGCUGGCCUUGAACUCAGAGAUAUGUCUGUUCUUAAAUCAUAGGAAAUUUACUAUGUAGCAUCUAUCAUUCAUCCAUAGGUCUUUAUACCAAAUAGCAUGCUAAUGUUGUCCCAGGAACUAUGAAUGAAGUAGCUGGAAUAAAGAAAAUGUACUUAUGGGGCUAGAGUUGGCUCAACAGUUAAGAGCACUGACUGCUCUUCCAGAGAUCCUAAGUUCAAUUCCCAGCAACCACACGGUGGCUCACAACCAUCUGUAAUGAGAUCUGAUUCCCCCUUCUGGGGUGUCUGAAGAUAGCUACAGUGUACUUAAAUAAAAUAAAUCUUUAAAAAAAAACAUAGUGAAAACAUAUUUUUAAAAAAGGUAAAAAGAAAAAUGUAGUUGUAUAGAUACUGUAAGUGUUACAGCUCUAAGGGGAAAGGUAUCCUGAUAGUUGAGAGCCAAGGAAUACCAAAGUCAUACCUUACAACAAAACUCGCACACAGAUUUAUAGGAGAGAGGGUGCCUUCCUCUGCUUGGGAGAGAAGCAGCAAAAAAUCUGGGCAGGAGGCAGGCUUUAUUUAGGGUUCCUUGGCAGCAGAGCUUUCUAGGGUACCCUGGGAUUGGGGGCAUUUUAUGGCUUGAUCUUGGGCUUUUUUUUUUUUUUUCUGUAGGGCAGGGUCUGGCCACACACCUGCCUUGAAGGACUGAAAGGGUCAUUAUGGCCGUUGGAGAAGACUGAGAGCCAAUGCCCCAGAAUCAGUCAUCAUAAUACAAAAACUUUAAAGGCAUAAAGUAGACCAAUGUUCCUCAACAAGAUUCAGCUCCCCUCCUUCGAGGCUGUUUGAAAAUGUAUCAAUUCCUUAUGGGAAUCAGUUCCCAGCAUCACUAUAGGUGCUAGAGGCUGGCCACCUCUGCCAUGAGAGACACUCUUAAAGAAUGCCUUACGUGAAUGUGGGUGAUGCUGUUGCUGAGAGGCAGCCCUAAGUCAAAAGCUCAUGGGCAUGAAGGAGGGACAGGGCUGCGGUGGCCCACGAGCACCACGCGGUCACCUACACUGGCUCUCACACACACCGUGCUUCCUUCCUUCAGUCUCCAUCCUUAACUUCUCACAGCUCAGUUGUUGACAUCGCAGGUGCGUGCUUCAUCGGGGUGUGUGCUGCUCCCCUUCUAGCCCCAGAGUACCUCCCCUCUCUGCGUGUCUGCUGAGUGGCCAUGACAGAGUAGGAAGAGCUCCAACUGCUCACCAGGAAAGUGGGUUCUAGUGCAGGCUCAGCACGUGCAGCUACCAUCCAGACGCAAAGGGCUCAUUUUUCGAAGUUGUAAAAGUAGUGGCUUAUGCCAAGCGUGGUGGCACACUCCUUUAAUCCCAGCACUUGGGAGACAGAGGCAGGCGGAUUUCUGAGUUCGAGGCCAGCCUGGUCUACAGAGUGAGUUCCAGGAUAGCUAGAGCUAAUCAGAGAAACCCUGUCUCGGAAAAAAAAAAAACAAAAAACAAAACAAAAAAGUAGUGGCUUAUGCAGCACCAGCACGGUACCUGAAGUCCCUUCAGUUCUCAUAGAUUGCAUGGUAGUUGAGAACAUAAAAUCCAACAAGAUUCACACCUAACUCUACAAUUUAUUAACUAUGUCACCUUUGGAAAGUAACUUUGUUUCUAUCUCGUACUCCUCAACUGAGGACUGUAGGGCCUCUUCAUUGGUAGGUUGUUGUGAGGCGCCUUCACAGUGUGGGAGAUGCAUAGUACAGUCAGUGGGUGUGAACUAGCACAUGGUAAGAACUCAAUCAGUGUUUGUUUCUGCUUGUCCCAGAGGGUGUUC
rnacentral:lncRNA from 1 species